rnacentral:rRNA from 1 species
UGGGGAAUAUUGGACAAUGGGCGCAAGCCUGAUCCAGCCAUGCCGCGUGAGUGACGAAGGCCUUAGGGUUGUAAAGCUCUUUCGGCGGGGAAGAUAAUGACGGUACCCGCAGAAGAAGCCCCGGCUAACUCUGUGCCAGCAGCCGCGGUAAUACAGAGGGGGCAAGCGUUGUUCGGAAUCACUGGGCGUAAAGCGCACGUAGGUGGAUAGUUAAGUUCGGGGUGAAAUCCCAGGGCUCAACCCUGGAACUGCCUCGGAUACUGGCUAUCUCGAGUCCGGAAGAGGUGAGUGGAAUUCCUAGUGUAGAGGUGAAAUUCGUAGAUAUUAGGAAGAACACCGGUGGCGAAGGCGGCUCACUGGUCCGGUACUGACACUGAGGUGCGAAAGCGUGGGGAGCAAACAGGAUUAGAUCCCGUGUAGUCCCUGAGCGGGCUGGCAAGGCGCAU